rnacentral:lncRNA from 1 species
GAGAGUUGUUUAGUAGUCCUCACCAUUUUUGUAAAAUAAUGUAUCAAUAAAUGUGAUGAGGAUUUAUUUGGGUAUAGAUAUUGUCUAGAAGAUAAUAUUUGUAUUCAAACUCACAGUUUUACUAUUGUAAUAAUAAAGUUGUAGUUUUUUCUGUACCAUGUAUUGACAACUCAGAAUGGGUGAUGUAUACCUAUUUUGGG